CUCCACAUGCACACAGAAGAAAGGUCAUGUGAAGGCAUAGUGAGGAAGCGGCUGUGCACAAGGCAGGAAGAGAGCUCUCGCUGGAAACCAACCCUGAUGGCACCUCGAUCUGGAUUCCAGCCUCUAGAACUCGUUAAUUCAGGCAGGCUGGAGACUGGCACGAUCUGGGCACGUGACAGAGGCUUUGUUCGUGGGAGUUCUGGAUUCCAGUGUCCUGGUUACCAAAGGAGAGUCAUGAGAUGAUUUCUUUGCCAGAGGUGAUCACCCAUGUGAUUAGAGAGAUACACCGCGAGAGAAGGAACACAAGCAGGGGGAGAGGCAGAGGGAG